ACCAUCCUCCAAGGCUAAAUACUCCUGACUGACCGAUAGUGAACCAGUACCGUGAGGGAAAGGCGAAAAGAACCCCGGCGAGGGGAGUGAAAAAGAACCUGAAACCGUGUACGUACAAGCAGUGGGAGCACAGGUUUACCUGUGUGACUGCGUACCUUUUGUAUAAUGGGUCAGCGACUUAUAUUCUGUAGCAAGGUUAACCGAAUAGGGGAGCCGGAGGGAAACCGAGUCUUAAUUGGGCGUUAAGUUGCAGGGUAUAGACCCGAAACCCGGUGAUCUAGCCAUGGGCAGGUUGAAGGUUGGGUAACACUAACUGGAGGACCGAACCGACUAAUGUUGAAAAAUUAGCGGAUGACCUGUGGCUGGGGGUGAAAGGCCAAUCAAACCGGGAGAUAGCUGGUUCUCCCCGAAAGCUAUUUAGGUAGCGCCUCGUGAAUUCAUCUCCGGGGGUAGAGCACUGUUUCGGCUAGGGGGCCAUCCCGGCUUACCAACCCGAUGCAAACUGCGAAUACCGGAGAAUGUUAUCACGGGAGACACACGGCGGGUGCUAACGUCCGUCGUGAAGAGGGAAACAACCCAGACCGCCAGCUAAGGUCCCAAAGUCAUGGUUAAGUGGGAAACGAUGUGGGAAGGCCCAGACAGCCAGGAUGUUGGCUUAGAAGCAGCCAUCAUUUAAAGAAAGCGUAAUAGCUCACUGGUCGAGUCGGCCUGCGCGGAAGAUGUAACGGGGCUAAACCAU
rnacentral:rRNA from 1 species